rnacentral:rRNA from 1 species
UACAGGGGGUGCAAACGUUGCUCGGAAUUAUUGGGCGUAAAGCGCGCGUAGGCGGCCACUUAAGUCGGAUGUGAAAGCCCCUGGCUCAACUGGGGAAGUGCACCCGAAACUGAAUGGCUUGAAUGCAAAAGAGGGUCGCGGAAUUCCCGGUGUAGAGGUGAAAUUCGUAGAUAUUCGCAAGAACACCAGUGGCGAAGGCGGCUCACUGGCCCGAUACUGACGCUGAGGUGCGAAAGCGUGGGGAGCAAACAGG